rnacentral:pre_miRNA from 1 species
UAAGGAAGAGACCCUAUCAAUAUUGCCUCUGCUUUUGUGAUCAGGGUAGUAGUGCAAUAUUGCUUAUAGGGUCUUUUCUUUGGAGGGU